rnacentral:lncRNA from 1 species
GUUCCAGUGAAAAACUAUCAGAGCCUUGUCUAAUUUAAUGUUUGAUUCCCAGGAAGUAGCUCCAUGACUUCACCCAAUCUGGAAAAGGAAACUGAGGCACAUAAACAUAAAAAUUAAGUCAUUCACCCAAGAUUUCACGGUGGAAUAAAUAGAAAUGGAACCAAGGCAUUUUUUGCUCUGGAACUAGGCAUUUCAGCUAAGAGGCUGAAAAUUUUCUGAGCUACUGUUUAGAGAUGACAUGUAAUCUGAACUGUUCUCUCUUUUUCUUCCACCAGUGUCUGUCAACUGUGCUAAAAACUGGCUCCAGGUCAAAGUGAGACGAACGCCGUUUGUGGAUGAGCUGCUACCCCAGGUUCAUGAGCUCUUUCUCGGAGAUGGCUGCCCCGUCACCACAGAGCUGCCUGAUUCCUUUGAGUUCCUUUACAGUCUUACUACUUGUGGCAUCAGGACUUACAAAUGAUCCAUUCACCUUUGGGGAAGAAGACAUAGAAAGUGAUAAUGAAACAACUGGGGAAAACGCCCAAGGGCCAGGCAGACAGAAGAACACAGCACCACCGGAAGCACCAUCCUUGGAGCCCCCUCCAGGAAUACCAAGCAAGUGAGUCGUCUUUUGACUUAGUACUAUCAAUGCUUUCCAAGGCACAAAAAAGCAAAGGUUCAGUAC